AACAACCACCAAAAAGCAAACAACAGUUCCCUCGUUUGUCCCAAAAAAUUAAACACAGAUUCUGUCACCUUGCCCCAACAAAACCACUGCACAGGGGUGGAUGGCAAAUGCUGCCAUGGCUUCAUGAGAACUUCAGAAAACACAGUGUGUUGUUUCUUCUGUGUUUUGCCAGACUGAGUCUGAAAAUACUGUGUUGAAUUCCCUGAGUUCUGGAAUUAUAACAACAUGUCACAAAUAGAUGCCUGGCAAUGCACAGCCUCACCAGAGUGACAGAGCAGCACAUCAAGGCUGCCCCUGGUGUAUCUCCACUGACAUCCUUACACCAGGGAUGAGUUCCACAGACACCACAGGAGGGAAGGGUCCUGUGCAUCAGGCACAGGCACAGAUCCUGGCUCACGUGAACUGAGAGAAAUAGGAAGGAAAUAUUCACCUCCUUAGAGGCUAAAAAUGAGGUGCAGCUACAGUCUAGCUCUGCAGUGUUCCCUUUCAACAAUGGGGAAUGGAGUGAAAAAAACACGAGUUCAUUUAACAUGGAGAAAAAGAAAGGAAGAUGGUAACAUGUUGACCUGUA
rnacentral:lncRNA from 1 species